CCGCAGUCCGUGACGCAUGUUCUCCGUCAAGUCUCCGUCUAACGGAAGCAGUCCGUCUUGCAGCAAGUGUGAUCGCUUGGCCUCGCCCUCGACAGACUGCAGUCAGUGAGUGACGCACUAUCUCAGUGUCACCUAAGCAGCCAUCAGUCCCCGCAGGUUUCGA